UACGUAGGGUGCAAGCGUUGUCCGGAAUUAUUGGGCGUAAAGAGCUCGUAGGCGGUUUGUCGCGUCGAAUGUGAAAACCCGGGGCUCAACCCCGGGCCUGCAUUCGAUACGGGCAGACUAGAGUUCGGUAGGGGAGUCUGGAAUUCCUGGUGUAGCGGGUGAAAAUGCGCAGAUAUCAGGAGGAACACCGGUGGCGAAGGCGGGACUCUGGGCCGAUACUGACGCUGAGGAGCGAAAGCGUGGGGAGCGAACAGG
rnacentral:rRNA from 1 species